GCCCGGGUGGCGGAACUGGUAGACGCGCCGGACUCAAAAUCCGGUGGUAGCAAUACCGUGGGGGUUCGAUUCCCUUCCCGGGUA
rnacentral:tRNA from 1 species